rnacentral:rRNA from 1 species
GACGAACGCUGGCGGCGUGCUUAACACAUGCAAGUCGAACGGAAAGGCCUCUUUCGGGGGGUACUCGAGUGGCGAACGGGUGAGUAACACGUGAGUAACCUGCCCUUGACUUUGGGAUAACUUCAGGAAACUGGGGCUAAUACCGGAUAGGAGCUCCUGCUGCAUGGUGGGGGUUGGAAAGUUUCGGCGGUUGGGGAUGGACUCGCGGCUUAUCAGCUUGUUGGUGGGGUAGUGGCUUACCAAGGCUUUGACGGGUAGCCGGCCUGAGAGGGUGACCGGCAACAUUCGGACUGAGAUACGGCCCAGACUCCUACGGGUGGCAGAAGUGGGGGAUAUUGCACAAUGGGUGGAAGCCUGAUGCAGCAACGCCGUGUGCGGGAUGACGGCGUUCGGGUUGUGAACCGCUUUCGCUCAUGACGAAGCUUUGUGUGACGGUAGUGGGUAAAGAAGCACCGGCUAACUACGUG